rnacentral:rRNA from 1 species
AGUGGCGCACGGGUGAGUAACGCGUGGGUAACUACCCUUGAAUUGGGGAUAACUCCGCGAAAGCGGGGCUAAUACCGAAUAAUAUUCCCCAAGGCAAAGGUGCAUUUAAGGAUGGGCCCGCGUACCAUUAGCUUGUUGGUAGGGUAACGGCCUACCAAGGCAACGAUGGUUAGCUGGUCUAAGAGGAUGGUCAGCCACACUGGAACUGAGACACGGUCCAGACUCCUACGGGAGGCAGCAGUGGGGAAUCUUGCGCAAUGGGGGAAACCCUGACGCAGCAACGCCGCGUGGGUGAUGAAGGCCUUCGGGUCGUAAAGCCCUGUCAGGUGGGAAGAAUGACGGUACUACCGGAGGAAGCACCGGCUAACUCCGU